rnacentral:rRNA from 1 species
UACGUAGGGCGCAAGCGUUGUCCGGAAUUAUUGGGCGUAAAGAGCUCGUAGGCGGUUUGUCGCGUCUGCUGUGAAAACCUGAGGCUCAACUUCGGGCUUGCAGUGGGUACGGGCAGACUAGAGUGCGGUAGGGGUGACUGGAAUUCCUGGUGUAGCGGUGGAAUGCGCAGAUAUCAGGAGGAACACCGAUGGCGAAGGCAGGUCACUGGGCCGCAACUGACGCUGGAGGAAGCGAAAGCAUGGGGAGCGAACAGG